rnacentral:rRNA from 1 species
AACGUAGGAGACAAACGUUAUCCGGAGUUACUGGGCGUAAAGGGCGUGUAGGUGGUAGUGUCAGUCUGGCGUGAAAUUUUUCGGCUUAACCGGGAAAGGUCGUCGGAUACUGCACAACUAGAGGACGGUAGAGGCGUGUGGAAUUCCGGGUGUAGUGGUGAAAUGCGUAGAGAUCCGGAGGAACACCAGUGGCGAAGGCGACACGCUGGGCCGUACCUGACACUGAUGCGCGACAGCAUGGGGAGCAAACAGG